ensembl:lncRNA
AAAAGAGCGAGUGAACGUGUCCGCCAGCUUGUUAAAGCCACGACGGGACGCUUUGCUUCUCAGCAGCCGGAGUCUUCUGCCUCCCUCUCAGACAAACACAGACGCUUGUUCAGAUCUGCUCUCACUUCCCCUCUCUCUCCGCUCGGCGCGGUGGUGCAGCGCGCGGCCCUCCGCCCUCAGCGGACGUGCGCCUGGCAGUCGGCGAUCCGGAGGCGCGCAGAAUCGGAGCGAGGGCCUCGCGGACGUCAACAUCAGCAGCAAUGCCGACAACUCCAUGGAGCUCCAGAGAAUUUAAGAAACAGUCCGAGUGGAUAAAAUAAAACACUGACUGUGCGUGUGUGUGUUUGUGUGUCGAAGGAAGACACAGGAAGGAAGAAGGAUAGAAAAGAAGCCAGACCUGAAGACUGGAAGGGAAUAAGACAGACAGGGAAACAUGACGCAAUCCCCCCGUUUCCCAACCCCCAUCAGUCUGCCCAUCGGUGCUGCAAAGCACAAGGUGACAGAUUUUCUUCUCACUCACACAUUUCUGAUGCAACCCCCCCCGGAGGAAAGCCGGCGGUCGGCCUCUGGCUCGUGGUGAAACGGUAGCGAGGGUCUAGCACUCGCGAAGCCACAAAGCCUGGCGAAGCUUCCCGGAGGCUCGAAACGAACGCUGCGGAGGCCGAGAGCCCAAAGAGGUGCACAGAAGGUGUUUGGAUACCAACACUUGUAGGUUUCCGGCUCAGCUUUUAUUGAAUUGGUUAAAAAGAAAUUGUCCAGACCCUUUCUGAGCGGUGCAGACUGUUUUAAAAAAAAAAAAAAAGAAAUGUAACUGCUUAUCCAAAUCAUCUAAAUGUUUGUCUCCUGUUGAUUAAAUGUCACGGUAUUAUAAAUAGAGGGAAAGCAAUUAGAAAGGCUGUACUCAGUUCAACAGUAAUUGUGUUGGAAUAUUAAUCCGCGCUGCGUUUAAUGCAAUCAACUCAACAUUCAUAUGGCUUAAGGCCUCCUAUUGGUACAUACAGUUCAAUCAGGUUUAAUUGCAAAUCAAUGGUUUACCUAAUUGCAUUACACAUACAUUCAAACUGUUGCUGAUUAAUACAAAAUAUUAAGACAUAAAAGUAAUUUCUAGAAGUUUUGCCGUGAAUAUUAUGAACUAAAACCUCCAUGUACGAGGUCAGCUGAUGCAGGUUUGUGUCUUGACAGGUUGACAAAUGUCCAGGAAACGCUGAUCAAAUGUGGUAUUUGAAACAAGUAAAAUCCUUUACAAGUACUGAGAUAUUCAGGAUGUAUUCAUAAAUGUCAAACAGGCUUUGAGAAAUUACUUUUCUAACACUAAUUAUUUACAGUUGUACAAGUCUUGAUCUCGGUACUGAUCUCCUGAGAGUCGGGACGCUUCUCUUCAGGCCACAUUUUUGUGCCAUAAUAUUAUCAUAUUUCUUUUGUUGGUUCAAAAUAAAAGCAAUUGCAUAAUAUGAAGCCAUCCAUUGGCUUUACUUUCAAACACCCUUUGAUUGGUCAAAAAUAAUCCGACAUCUUUAUCAUGUGAUUUCUGCCAGUGAAUAAUUAUGACAAAUUUGUUAAGGGACGAAGAUUUGCAUUUUGUCGUUUUACUGGAAAUCUCAGACUUUCUCACUGCACACGUUACUUUCCCUUGUAGCCUCAUUCUACUAACCCAUAGCAUUAUAUUUUAUUUUAUUCCCCCUGCACUUGUCGUCCAUUCUCGUAUUGUCUGCUGUUACGCACCAACCAAAGUCUUAUUCCUCGUAUGUCUGACAUAAUAUGGCAAUAAAUGUUUCCUGAUUGCUGAUUCCUGAAAAAUAGACUUUCAAAUCUGGAGCCCAGAAAAAAAACAAAUAGUCCGUCCUCAAAAUAAUCACAGAGCUGCACCAAGGUGAAUGCAACACAAUCAUUUCCACCGCUGUACUACAGCCAACCGCGCUGCUGCUUUACAUGCUGAAGAUAAUACAUGCAAACACAACCCAGGACCUCCUCCGAGCUCCCCCCCCUCUGGGGGGAAGUCUUUUUCUCACGACCUUGGCGAGGUCCCUGUGGCCUCCUCCCAACUUGCAAACCUUUUCCCUGCAGAAGCGAUAAUGUUCGGCCCGUUGAAAAUGACUUUGAU